CCAUCCUCCCCUACAACCACUGAAUGGUACAGUCCGUUGCCUAGGUGCUAGAAGAAGCCAAUUCACUCCGCCACGCCUGUCCUCUUUAGCGCUUUGCUGCCUCUUCUCUUCUUUCCUCUUCAAAGGGGAAGCUUGAGGACAAGAGACGUUGUCAUGGAUGAAAUGCACCAACAAUUGGAGUAAUGAAGUUUGCAGACCUGCUGAUCUUUGCCACAUCAUUGCAAAAUGAGCCGGGCCCUGUUGUGUACCAUGUAGGCAGCAUUGCAGUACUCCAGUGUUAAGGAAAAAGUUCAUCACUCACAGAUGCAGCUUCAUCCAACUGAAUCUAUAUGACCAUGGAUCAUGACAAGGUACGAACAGAGGGUGAUAGCGGCCCUCUGGGGGCCAGUGUUGAGAAGCAGCAGUGCCAACUCUGUCAGCAGCUGCUCGACAGUGAGGCAAAGCUGCAGUCUAGCAUCCAGGAGCUGCAGACCAUACGUACCCAGCAGGCCAAUGAGAUGCAGGAGGUGGAGAGCUAUGUUGCACAUAUUCGUGGGCUACUGGAAGAGCGUGAAUGUCUGACAGCUGAUUAUGAGAGAGACAAUGAACACUUGAGACAAGACCUUCACCGGAUCAGACAACAACAGGAGAGUCAGAGCAAGGAGCUGGCAGAGAUGUUGGCUCAGGAGGACCUUGGGGAAAUUGGUUUGAGCAGUCCCAGUGAGCAAGUGGCUUACUUACUGGUGGAGAGGGCCACUUUACUGGAGAGGCUGGAGGCAGUUGAAAGGAGACUGGAGGGUCAGAGCCUCACUGACGACCUAAGGGAGGUUCAUCACCAGGAACAUAUCCGCCACACGAUGGGGGAGGAGCUGAGGCAGCAGAGGGAUGAUAUGCAGAACACAAUAGAUAACAUAAAGGCACACAGCGAGGAGAUUUCCCGUGAGAAAAAUGAGCGCCAGCGACUGGAGCGAGACCUUGAAGAAGCAUCCAGGAGGCUGGCAAUGGCUCAUCAGGAUAUCCGCAGACUCACCAAUGAGCUGGAUGCUGCCACGAACAACAACUUGGAUCCAAGUGGAUCUGAGCUACAGGGAACGGUCCAAGAAGUAGAGAACCUGAGGAAGGAAGUGGACAAACUGAAGCACUGUGAUAUGAUGAAGCUGCAGCGAGCCAAAGAGCAAAAUGACAGACUCGAUGUAGAGAACAGAGCUCUGAGAGAGAGGGUUCGCACUUUAGACUCUGAAAAGAAAAACCUCCAGGCUCAGUUGGAAGUCAACCAAGAGGAUCCAAAGUCCAAGAGCAUUAACAGUGAACCACCGAACAACAAUCAGUUUGGCUUGUCAGAAGGAGACAAAGACUGCAUUCACAAACGGUGUCGUGAGGCAAUGGAAGACGGAAUUGUACAGGUGAAAGAGCUGCAACGGCAACUCCAAAGGCUCCGCAAGCAACAAGAAGAGCUGGAGGAGAGGAACGAGGAGCUGGAGGCUCUGCUAGGGGAGGCCCAAAACUCCAGCAAGGAGGAGAGACACCGCCAUGAGGGAGAACUGGAAGGACUACACAGGAGGAUUAAAGGCCUGGAGGCAGAGCUGAAGAAAUAUGUAGCCCCAGAAAAAAUUAUGAAGAAUGGAGAAGAUGUAAAAGCCACUGAAUCCUACUUACAACUGCACCUAAGAGACAGCAGUCAGGAGAGACUGGCACUGCUCGAGGCUCGUCUGACAGAAGAGAAGGAUUGGAGGAAACAGCUGGAAGUAGACCUCAGUGCUGCCCAGGCCGCCCUCAAAAAAGACAAGGAGGCUUUGCAGAUCAGUGAGCAAGAGCGGAAGAAGCUAAGACUCGAGGUCAACAGCCGUCAGAUGGAAUGCCAACAAGGGAAAACCAUCAUCAAGAGCCUCACUCAAGUCAAAGGGGAGAAGGCCGUUCUGGAGGAAAAGGUGGCUCAGAUGGAGCGUGCCCAGAGCCGGCUGCAUAGCGAGCUGCAAAGCUACAAGGAUAGUAAUCGGACCCAGGGGGACCUCAAGGAAAAUAGGCAUCAGAUGGAGCAGCUGCAGGAGCAGGCCGACAGGCUGACUGCUGAACUCAGCAGCCUCCAUACAGCACACAGCACCUUGAGGGAAGAGAUGGUUACUGAGCGGCUGCAGACGGCCGAGCUCCAGGCCAGGCUGAGCUUCAGCGUUCAGGAGAAGCUGACAGCUGAGGGAGAAAAAGAGAGACUGAAGCUGGAGAUCCAGCGCCUUAAAGAGCAGCUCAAGUGGCAUGAGGAGCAGCUGUCAUCAUCAAAGGAAGCACUUAUGAGCAGAAAAGAGCCUGAACUGCACACAGCUCACGUAGAAUCCAGGCUGAGUCCAGUGGAGAGGACCAAGGAUGAGUACUCGGAUCAGCUUGUAGUUUUCAGGCAGGAGCUGAACCAAAUACAAUCCAAGUCUGAGGAGGAGCGUCAGCUGGCAUCACAGCACCAACUGGCCCUGCAGGCUCAGGUCAAUGAAGCCCAGGCACAUAUCAAGUCCCAAGACUUAGUGCUGAGCCAGAAAGGAGAGGAGGCCAAGCAGAUGAAGCAGGACCUGCAGAGGGCACAGAGCCUUUUCAGUUCAGCAGAGCGAGAGCUGCGCUACGAGAAGGAGAAGAACAUGGACGUGAAGAAACACAACACCCUGUUGGACCAGGAAAAACUAAAGCUUUGUGCGGAGCUGAAGCAGGUCCAGACCAAGCUGAUCCAGGUGGAGCAGGGCCUCCAGUCUCAAGUGGCUGACUGUGAACAUCAGCAGCAGAAAAUCAGGGAACUAGAAUUGGACCUUGCACGUAACUCAACAACCCGCAGUACCACCACUAGUUUGCAAGAGGAGCUGCAGGCGGAGAGGGCACGGCUGAUUGCUGCUGACAAGAAGGUGUUGGAGCUGCAGCAGCAGCUUAAGAAUGCCCAGCACCAGCUGCGCGUGGAGGAAGCUCGGGCAGGCGAGAGCAGUCGUCUGGAGAGAGACAGCCGGGAUCUGUCUGAUACCUUAUCAGCCCUCAGAGCCAAGCAGCAGGAGGAGCACAUCACCAGGAAGCUGUUAGAGCAGCGAGAGGAGGAGCUGCAGCAGCAGUUGCGUUCCCUCAGGCUGACGGAGGCUUCUAUGACCCGGACAAAUGCAGAGCUCAGCCACCGUGCUCAACAGCUGGAAACACGUCUGGCCAUCCUGGAGGCUGAGCUUAGCAAGGCCAGAGAAGAGGCGAGAGAAAGCCAGAAGUCCAGAAAGAAAAUGCAGGAAGACUUGGGGUCCAGUCAGCAGGAGUGUGACAGACUGCAGGGGGAGCUGCAGCAAGUUCUCCUACAGCUGGACUCGUAUGUCAGGAAGUACAAUGAAAAGCAGAGUCAGCAUAAGAGCAAGCUGCGUCAGGCAAAGCAGAUCUUCCUCAAGGCCACUGCACAAAGGGACCGCAUCAUCCAGAAACUGGAGAAUGACCUGGUGCUGGCCUCCAGCCUCUCACACAAGGAGAAGGAGAGGAUCAACACAGUGACAGAGGAGAAUGAAAAGCUUUUGGAGGAGAGGAGGGAGCUUUUGCGGAAGAUAAACGAGGCAGAAGAGAUGGGGAGCAAAGGCAUGAGGAGCGCCUCCACUGCUCAAUACAGAGUCAACGUCUUGGAAAUGGAAAACAGACAACUCCAGGAUCGAACCCUAAAGCUCUCCAAUCAAGUCAGCUCACUGGAGCGUGCCCUGAGGAACGUCCAGUCAUACUACAGUGUUGAGCCCGUUAAGCAUUAAAGAUGUGAGAUGAAGAGUUUGUAAUCUAAGUGUUUGCUGCUGCUGAAAAAAAUGGUGCAGGGUGGACUCUAUCACAGCUGAGACUUUUUGUUGAAAAGAAUGUAAAGAAAGUUCUCCCUUCUGAGAAGCUCUGCGAUGGCAUCCUGCACACGUCUUCACUCAGUCUGACCUCGGGUUCAUGUGACCCGCUGGACAUCCUGGAUGCAAUCUGUCGAGUGAAGGUGGAAGACCGUUUGGUGGAGGCUACUCAAGGGUCUGUCUCAGCACACCAACCAUCAGAGCAGGGCUACCUGAAUGUCACCUCCCCAUUGGCUCCUCCAGACACUAAGGGAACAGAGGAGAGCACUAAUGACACUGACCAGGUAUGAGAGGAUUCAGGGAGGUACUACAACACUACCAAUGGAGACAAGAUUAGAAUAAUGGAGUGAAGAAUGCAGAGAAUGCAGAUCAUUCUUUUAAAAAAGGCAGUAAUAAUGAACGGGAGCUUCCACUUUAGUUCUGCUCAGGGUGAUGUAUUAUGUAAUACAAAGCAGAUUCUUGUUUGGCUGGCAAGUUCUGUUUCUGAUCCAGGUCAAGGUUAAAAUAAAAAGAGGGAAUUGUAAAGAAAAAAAAAGCCACAGCAAGUGUCAAUCAAUUAUCUAAUAAUAAUCUUCAAUAUUUUGAAGAAAACAGUUUAUAAUUUUUACAUAAACACACUGCACGAUCGUUUGCAUGCACAGAUGUGUUGAAUACUUCUGUGUAGAAAGCUGGUCAGUAGUUUGCAUGAGCAAACCAAUGCAAAUAAGAAUGUUUGAAAGCCUCAUGUUGGCUUAUGGGAAUGAUAAUCAUCUUUUAUUCUAAUAAUGUAUGAAAAUGUGUUUUACUCCAGUGCAGUGUGUCCAAAGGUCUAAGGGACGUAUCAUAAUGGAGAGCAGAAUGACAAAUGUUUAACUUUAGCACUUUAUGAAAUGUUUACAUUUUGGUCAAAUGUAGCAGUGGAUAUUACAGUGGAUCUCACAGUAUGAAUUUUUUACACAGCUCUAUUAAUCUUGGUAGUUUUCCAAUUACAAAAAUGCCUCCCAUGAUUUACGAUUAUACUUGUAUUGUGUCCAAAAACUCUUAAAACCUAGCAGGUUGAUGAGUUUGUGAAAUAGUACUUCGACCAGGCUUCAUUCUUAGACCUGAGUCAGCCGCUCCAGUAUUUACAUUUUGCAGCUCUGCUCAUUGCUUUUUUUAAAACAGCCAAAAUGUCAGGAAGCCACCAAAUUCCAGGAAGUUUUUUGUCUAUUUCAAGCAUCUCGAAUAGUUUUUCUUUUUUUUUUUUGUUUCGGUCAACCUCAGUGUUUAACCUCCAGGGACACUGAAACAGAAAGUACUUAUACGCUUGUACAAAGAGUUGUGUGUGUGUGACAUGGCAAUAAAACACAUGUUUAUAUUUAGGGCAUGCAAUUCAGGAGAAAGAUUUUGGAUACUGUUAUCAAGUAAGUGGCUUUGAAAUCCUACGCCAACAUACGGAGAGGCACUAUAAAAUAAAGCUAUAGAGGAUGAUAAGGAAAAGGCACGAUUUAUAACUACUGUUAGUUAGAUUGUGGGAUAUUAAAAUGUCCCUAUAAUUGGUUCUGCAGGGAUUGUGUGGCCUGCUUGAUGCAUGUUUUCAUGUACAGAGCCAGAUCUGAUUUAAAUUGCACACCCCAUCUUUAACUGUUUCAUACCACUACAUUUGUUUCUUUUGUAGAGUUGUGCACUGUCUUUGUCCUUAAUGUGCCUAAACUGAUGAAGUGGUUUACUUUUUCUUGCUGCUGCGUGAAGACAUCUAAUAGUGCCGGAUGUAACCUGAGACAUAAUGUACAAGAAAAUGUGUUGUAUUUGUGUAAAUACAUUUUUUAAAACAGAAAUAUUUUCAUUAAUAAAGCUGAAUACACAAAUAUGUAA